AAUACAUCUGGAGUGCCAAAGGUUGCCUAUGCCUGGCAUACUGUAUCACUCUUAAAGGUACAUUACAGUGUUGGGAAUACAAAGCUUAAUUUCUAACAUUGUAGGAACCCAUUAUAGGAGCCCCUACCCCCCCAGUUCCCCACACUGAAAAGGUUAAAAAACCCUUUAAACACUUACCCGAUUCUGGCGUGUGGGGCAGGUUCCUCUACUGCCAGAUGGAGGAACCUAAUGCACAUGCGAGUUUAGCGCUCUGUGACAGUUAAGCUAUUCCCAUAGGAAAGAACUGACAAUGCUUUCCUAUAUGGAUUUUCAAUACGCUCUAUGUCCUCAUGCAAACCGUGAGGACGUCCAGCGUCGUUUCAUGGAACAAACUUU